CUUUCCAUGUUGAAUAUCAGUUAUCACCCCAAAACCAAAUAUGAAGUCAUUCGUCCUUUUACUCAAUAUUAUUCUUCUGUACAUUGCCUUGGCGAGUGCCCAAUCUUGCACGGUCAUAAGAAGGACGGUGUCUCCCGGUGAAAGAGUCUGCCAGCAAUUUUGUGGAUCUGGAAAUACUAGACCCUUAACAAUCUGCAACACCAUUAGGAGGAGAUAUCAAUCGCAAAUUUGUCCAUCAGGAUGUUGUUGGGAUAGAAGCACCUGUCGCAGAAGAUAAAUUGUAUGAAAAACAAUAUGACAAUAUAACAGUAUAUAAAAUACAGUUUUACAUUUCAAUGAUUACAAAAACUAUGAUUCGUAAUGGA